rnacentral:rRNA from 1 species
CCUACGGGUGGCAGCAGUGGGGAAUAUUGCACAAUGGGGGAAACCCUGAUGCAGCGACGCCGCGUGAGUGAAGAAGUCUUUCUGUAUGUAAAGCUCUUUCAGCAGGGAAGAAGCCCGACGUUACCUUACUCCGCCGCCCCGGCUAACUACGUGCCAGCAGCCGCGGUCAUACGGAGGGGGCAAGCGUUAUCCGGAUUUACUGGGUGUAAAGGGAGCGUAGACGGUAUGGCAAGUCUGAAGUGAAAUCCCAGGGCUUAACCCUGGGACUGCUUUGGAAACUGUUAGACUAGAGUGCUGGAGAGGUAAGUGGAAUUCCUGGUGUAGCGGUGAAAUGCGUAGAUAUUAGGAGGAACACCAGUGGCGAAGGCGGCUUACUGGACAGUAACUGACGUUGAGGCUCGAAAGCGUGGGGAGCAAACAGGAUUAGAUACCCCUGUAGUC